rnacentral:lncRNA from 10 species
CAGAUUAAAGACCACAUUGUACUUUUCCUUGCCAUUGUGUAAAGGGCAUUAUUUUCCAUGUUGAUAAGAUCUGGAGGGAAGAAUAAAGCACAAUGGACUUUUAUUUUAAUCACUAAACACUCACCCUAUCCCACAGAAAGCCCAAAGUUUUUUAUGCUUCUCCUGGUUUCAAGGCAUCUGCCAUUAGGAAAAGUAGAGUCAAGUGGCUCAGAUUUUAUCCAAGGGAGACUUAACAGUGUCCCUUCCUCAUUGGGAAGGGGUUGAGAGAAGUGAUAAAGAAGCAGAAUUUGAUGACCCAGAGGAAAAGCUGAAGUGACAGUAUUUAUGCCUGGAGUUUACUGCAUGCCGUUGCUAUGGGACCUGAUUAAAGAGUCAGAACAAUAUGGUUCUUGCUCUCAAUAGCUUGAGACAUUUUGGCAGAGAGGAGCAGAUGCCACCUGCAUUAAGCCUCCCUAUUCCUUGAGAGACAGCAAUGUUGAAAUUAGGCCAAUUAAUAACCCUACAAUGGCCUCUAAGUGUUCACAUGAAAGGAAGAAUUGCAUGUCUCUAACUUUAAAUAAAAAACUAGAAAUUACUAAGCUUUGUGAGGAAGGCAUAUUGAAAGCUGAAACAGGUUAAAAGCCAGGCUUCUUGCACCAAACAGUUAGCCAAGUUGUGAAUGCAAAGGAAAAGUUCUUGAAGGAAAUUUAAAGUGCUACUCCGGUGAACGCAUGAAUGAUAAGAAAGCAAAAUAACCUUCUUGCUGAUAUGGAGAAAGGUUGAGUGGUCUGGAUAGAAGAUGAAACCAGCCACACAUUUCCUUAAGCCAAAGCCUAAUCCAGAGCAAAUCCCUAACUCUCUUCAAGUCUAUGAAAUUUGAGAGAAGUAAAGAAGCUUCAGAAGGAAAGUUGGAAGGUAGCAGAGGUUGAUUCAGAGGUUUAAGAAGCCAUUUUUUAUAAAAUAGAAAUGCAAGUUGAAGCAGCAAGUGCUAAUGUACGUGCUUCAGCAAGUUAUCCAGAAGAUCUAGCUAAGAUCAUUGUUGAGGGUGGCUAAACUACAUUUUCAAUGUAGGUGAAACAGCCUCAUAUUGGAAGAAGGUGCCAUCUAGGACUUUCAUAGCUAGAGAGAAGUCACCGCCUGGCUGCAAAGUUUCAAAGGACAGGCUAACUCUCUUGUUAGGGGCUAAUACAGCUGGUGACUUGAAGUUGAAGCCAAUGCUCAUUUACCAUUCUGAAAAUCCUAAGGCUAAAUCUAUUUUGCCUGUGCUCUAUGAAUAGAACAACAAAGCCUAGAUGACAGCACAUCUGUUUACAGCAUGGUUACUGAAUAUUUUAAGCCCACUGCUGAAAGUUACUGCUCAGAAGAAAACAUUUCUUUCAAAAUAUUACUUCUCAUUGACAAUGCACCUGGUCACCCAAGAGCUCUGAUGAAGAUACACAAGGAGAUUAAUGUUGUCUUCAUACUUGGUAACUCAACAUUCAUUCUGCAACCAUGGAUCAAGGAGUAGUUUUGAUUCUCAAGACUCAUUAUUUAAGAAACACAUUUCAUAAGGCUAUAGCUGUCAUAGAUAGUGAUUUAUCUGAUGGAUCUAGACAAGGUAAAUUGAAAACCUUCUGGAAGGGAGUCACCGUUCUAGCUGCCAUCAAGAACAUUAGUGACUCAUGGGAGAAGGCCUAAAUAACAACGUUAAUAGGCAUUUGGAAGAAGUUGGUUCCAACCCUUGUAGAUGACUUGAGGGAUUUACAACUUCAGGGGAGGAAGUUGCUUGUUAUGGAUGAGCAAAGGAAGUGGUUUCUGAGAUGGAAACUACUCCUGGUGAAGACGCUAUGAACAUUGUUGAAAUGACAACAUAGGAUUUAGGGUGUUACAUAAACUUAGUGAAAGAGUGGCAGGGUUUGAGAGGACCGUCUCCAAUUUUGAAAGAAAUUCUACUGUGAGUAAAAUGCUAUCAAACAGCAUCACAUGCUCCAGAGAUUCUCUCAAGAGUCAACUCAUAUGGCACACUUCAUUGUCAUCCUAUUUUAAAAAAUUGCCAAAGCCACCCAGCUGAUCAGCAACCUGAUCAGUUAGCAGUCACCAACAUCAAGGCAAGACCUUCUAACAGCCAAAAGAGUACAACUCAGAUGAUCAUUAGCAUUUUUUAAGCAAUACAGCAUUUUUUUUUUUUUUUGAGAUGGAGUCUGCUCUUGUCGCCCAGGCUGGAGUGCAAUGGCACAAUCUCGGCUCAGUGCAACCUCUGCCUCCCGUGUUCAAGCGAGUCUCCUGCCACAGCCUCCCAAAUAGCUGGGACUACAGGUAUGCACCACCAAGCCUGGCUAAUUUUUAUAUUUUUAGUAGAGAUGGAGUUUCACCAUGUUGACCAGGCUGUUCUUAAACUCCUGACCUCAGAUGAUCUGCCCGCCUUGGCCUCCCAAAGUGCUGGGAUUACAGGCGUGAGCCACCGUGCCUGACCAAUUCAGCAUUUUAAGAUUAAGGCAUGCAGAUUGUUUUUUAGACAUAAUGCCAUUGCACACUUAAUGGACUACAGUGUAGUGUAAACAUAACUUUUUUUUUUUUUUUUUGAGAUGGAAUUUCACUCUUGUUGCCCAGGCUGGAGUGCAGUGGCACGAUCUUGGCUCACCACAACCUCCGCCUUCUGGGUUCAAGCGAUUCUCCUGCCUCAGCCUCCUGAGUAGCUGGGAUUACAGGUAUAUGCCACCACGCCCAGCUAAUUUUUGUAUUUUUAGUUGAGAUGGGGUUUCUCCAUGUUGGUCAGGCUGGUCUCGAGCUCCCGACCUCAGGUGGUCUGCUCACCUUGGCCUCCCCAAGUGCUGGGAUUACAGAUGUGAGCCACUGCACCCGACAGAUAACUUUUAUAUAUACUAGGAAACAAAAAAAUUUAUGUGACUCACUUUACUACAACAUUCAUUUUAUUCCACUGAUCUGGAACUGAACUUGCAGUAUCUCCAAGGUAUGCCUGUACAUCUAUGUAACCAACACUCCAAUUAAGAUAUCAUCCCAGAAACUUCCCACAUGUCCAUUUCAUAUCCCCUUUCAAUCAAUCCUUCCCACCCUGAGGCAACAACUAUUCCAUCACCACAGAUGUUUUUCCUGUCCUUGAACUUGUUAGAAGCACUUUGAAAAGUGAAAGCCACUAUACAAAAUCCAGUAUUAUUACUAUAUCUCAACUAGAUGUUACAUUAUUUAAAAGACCUAGUAUUUUACUUAGUACUGAGCAGAAAGCAUGGUAGACACUGACUCAAUUCAAUAUUGAAUAUAUCUUAAAGUGAGUAAAGUGUAGGGAAAGGGCCUUUGGCCUGGGUUCUGGGAAAGCUGAAUUCGAACCUGCUCUGACUUACCUAACAUUGUGACAUUUAAAACAAAACAAAACAUUUUUUACCUUAAGUGUUUCUUCUACUAAAUAAAGGAGUUGGACUAGAUGAUGUUGUAGAGUACCUUCAUGCUUUCAGAAAUUAUUUAACGAUGAUAAUGGCUAACAUUUAUUGAAUGAUUACUAUAUGUCAGGCACUACUCUAAAUACAUUUAUGAACUCAUUAAUCUUAAUAACGGUCCAACAAGGUAAAUCUUACU